rnacentral:tRNA from 1 species
GGAAAGAUGGCUGAGCUGGUCUAAGGCGCACGACUGGAAAUCGUGUUGGCGUUAAUAGCGUCACCAGGGUUCGAAUCCCUGUCUUUCCGCCA